CAGUCGCCGCGGUAAUACAUAGGGUGCAAGCGUUGUCCGGAAUUAUUGGGCGUAAAGAGCUCGUAGGCGGUUUGUCGCGUCUGCUGUGAAAUCUGGGGGCUCAACCCCCAGCCUGCAGUGGGUACGGGCAGACUAGAGUGCGGUAGGGGAGAUUGGAAUUCCUGGUGUAGCGGUGGAAUGCGCAGAUAUCAGGAGGAACACCGAUGGCGAAGGCAGAUCUCUGGGCCGUAACUGACGCUGAGGAGCGAAAGCAUGGGGAGCGAACAGGAUUAGAUACCCCCGUAGUCCCUGUCCCUUAUAC
rnacentral:rRNA from 1 species